AUUGAACGCUGGCGGCAUGCUUUACACAUGCAAGUCGAACGGUAACAGGGAGCUUGCUCCGCUGACGAGUGGCGAACGGGUGAGUAAUGCGUCGGAACGUGCCGAGUAGUGGGGGAUAACGCAUCGAAAGGUGUGCUAAUACCGCAUACGAACUGAGGUUGAAAGUGGGGGACCUUCGGGCCUCACGCUAUUCGAGCGGCCGACGUCUGAUUAGCUAGUUGGUGAGGUAAAGGCUCACCAAGGCGACGAUCAGUAGCGGGUCUGAGAGGAUGAUCCGCCACACUUGGACUGAGACACGGCCCAGACUCCUACGGGAGGCAACAGUGGGGAAUUUUGGACAAUGGGCGCGAGCCUGAUCCAGCCAUGCCGCGUGUCUGAAGAAGGCCUUCGGGUUGUAAAGGACUUUUGUCCGGGAGCAAAUGCUGGUGGCUAACAUCCACCGGAGCUGAGAGUACCGGAAGAAUAAGCACCGGCUAACUACGUGCCAGCCGCCGCCGUAACAC
rnacentral:rRNA from 1 species